AAAUGAAUAGACGGGGAUCUGCACAACCGGUGGAGCAUGUGGUUUAAUUCGAUACGAAGCGAAGAACCUUACCUGGGCUUGACAUGUACCUGCACGACUAUGGAAACAUAGUUUUCUUCGAGAGUGGUACACAGGUGCUGCAUGGCUGUCGUCAGCUCGUGUCGUGAGAUGUCGGCUUAAGUGCCGUAACGAGCGCAACCCCUGCUAUGUGUUAUAUAUUCACAUAGGACUGCCUUACAGCAAGUAGGGAGGAAGGAGGGGAUGACGUCAAGUCAGCAUGGCCCUUACGUCCAGGGCUACACACAUCCUACAAUGGCCAGUACAACGGGUCGCGAAGGAGCAAUCCUGAGCUAAUCCUUCAAAACUGGUCUCAGUUCGGAUUGUGGGCUGCAAUUUGCCCGCAUGAAGUCGGAAUCGGUAGUAAUCGUGGGUCAGCAGACCGCGGUGAAUACGUUCUCAGAUCUUGUACACACCGCCCGU
rnacentral:rRNA from 1 species